GACGAACGCUGGCGGCGUGCUUAACACAUGCAAGUCGAACGGAAAGGCCCUGCUUGCAGGGUACUCGAGUGGCGAACGGGUGAGUAACACGUGGGUGAUCUGCCCUGCACUUCGGGAUAAGCCUGGGAAACUGGGUCUAAUACCGGCUAGGAGCCAUUUUUAGUGUGAUGGUUGGAAAGUUUUUUCGGUGUAGGAUGAGCUCGCGGCCUAUCAGCUUGUUGGUGGGGUAAUGGCCUACCAAGGCGGCGACGGGUAGCCGGACUGAGAGGGUGGACGGCCACAUUGGGACUGAGAGGCGGCCCAGACUCCGACGGGAGGCAGCAGUGGGGAAGAUUGCACAAGGGGCGCAGGCCUGAUGCAGCGACGCCGCGUGGUGUAUGACGGCCUUCGGGUUGUAGACACCGUUCGCUAGGGACGAAGCUUUUUGUGACGGUACCGAGAUAAGAAGCACCGGCUAACUACGUG
rnacentral:rRNA from 1 species